UUGAAAGGGAAACGAUUGAAGUCAGUCAUGCUGGUGGGAAUCAACUUAGGGGAAACUCUGGGUGCACUUCUUCGCUUGGCAGGUCAACGUCGAUUUCGAAUGUCAUAAAAUAAUUGGGGAAGGUAGCNCCUUCGGGAGUGUUAUAGCCCUUGAUGGAUGUGAUGUUUGAGGUCGAGGAUUGCAACGGAUACCUUUGGGGCUAGCUGCCUGAUCUCUAAUUGGUGUUGGGUUACGGAUAGCAUGCUGACCGUGAUCUAAUUACUGGUUAAAAGGUUAGAGUAUGCAUAAAUUCGUUAAGGAUGUUGACGUA
rnacentral:rRNA from 1 species